rnacentral:tRNA from 1 species
UCCUCCGUAGCUCAAUCGGCAGAGCAUCUGACUGUUAAUCAGAGGGUUCCUGGUUCGAGUCCAGGCGGGGGAG